rnacentral:lncRNA from 1 species
AAGCAGAUGAGCGUGAAUGGAGCACGAGGUGGUCCGGGGGCUCGAGCCCCAUCCUGGGGCAACCUGUCGCUGUUCAUCCCGGCCAGGCGGACCAAAAGCAAAGCAGGAGAGGAGGGUGUGAGGACUGUGGUAAAAGCCUUAUAGGAGAAUGCAAGCUCCAUGGACCACUCAUCAGGGCUAAAGAUAGGGUUAUUCCUAGCCGAGCCCGUCUUACCCUACCUCAUUACCUCACUUUGCGAGUGUUGGAGCUACGAGCCGGAAACCAGCAGAUCCUUGGAGUAUUUGCAAAGAAAGUAAUACAGAAGAGAACACAGUUUGGUCCUUAUGUUGGUCAACUGUCUACAAAACUGACCUGCUAUGAUGAGAGCAGGCUAGUCCUGCAGGUAUUGAAAGAUGGAGGGAAGUACUUUCUGGACACUCCCA